UACGGGGGGGGUAAGCGUUGUUCGGAAUUACUGGGCGUAAAGGGCUCGUAGGCGGCCAACUAAGUCAGACGUGAAAUCCCUCAGCUUAACCGGGGAACUGCGUCCGAUACUGGUUGGCUUGAGUUUGGGAGAGGGAUGCGGAAUUCCAGGUGUAGCGGUGAAAUGCGUAGAUAUCUGGAGGAACACCGGUGGCGAAGGCGGCAUCCUGGACCAAUACUGACGCUGAGGAGCGAAAGCCAGGGGAGCAAACGGGG
rnacentral:rRNA from 1 species